UCUUAAAAUUGAUGUGUUAAAAAUUUACACAAAAUAUGUGUAAAAGGAUUCUAACACAUUUUUGUGUUGGAACUGACACAUAAUGUGUAAAUAUUAUGCUUAACUGCUUACACAAUGAAUGUGUAAAACACGUUAACCAGUACACAAUAAAAUGAAAUGCAUAAUUAUUGUAGUUUAAUGACGAUUUAUAUUUAAACAAAGUAACAUGAAAAAAAUGUUAUAUAAAACACUAUAUCCUGUCGUUUUCAUAAAAAAUUGAUUUAGGCAGCGUGCACUGACACUGAUUAUCCUGUACUUUUGUUUGUUAUAAAAACCAAAUAUCAUAUAUAACACAUUCCUUUAUCAAGUAUAAGAUGUUUGUGCAACAGGAAAUAUACAAGCAAGUUCGGUCAAAAGCACAAUAAGCCUGCACUUCACCACAAAGUUAAAUAAAAAAUAUAAAGUUUUACAAUGCAACUUUGUCCUUAGUCAAAACGAUUUGCCCAGGAACAGAUAAUAUAUUUUUGAGACCAAAGAUUGUCCAUAAGACAGUACCAAUAAAAUAUAUAUAACACUGUUAACCACUACUAACACAUAACACCCAGCGGCCAGCGGUGAUUUUCAGAAGGACUUGCCGAGAUCAAGCUGCGUUGGGCGGGGUACAUGAGCGCUAAGUACCCGUUGGUUGUCUGGAUCAGAACUCCGAAAAAGUCGGGGCAGAUUUUUUAAUAAACGCUCUCUUUAUAAACCGACCGCAAAUUUGAACUUUUUAUACAUACAUUCUCGCCUAAAAAGCUUUUGAACAUACACUUUGUGACACAAUAAGAGUAAUAUUUCAAACAUUAUGCAGGCGUUCUCUUCCAUUGGUGGCUGUCAUAAGUUCACACGAAUCUGCUGAUGACGUUUCACAUGGACAGACAACUACGCAUUAUUGUAUUUUUAAUUGUAUUUUUUGCUUGUGUUAUUUUUAUUUAAUUAUUAUGAAAAUCAUGAUCAUUAUUAUUGAGCCUUGGCUGGCAGUCUGUUUUGAAUUUGUUUUAUUGAAAAGACAAACACACAACGCAUAUUGUGUUGCGCCUGCGCAGUGACGUUCUUUUCCAACCGCCUUUCCAGUCAAGAGGUUAAGAAUGUUCCUGUCUGCAUCAGGUAAGAAAUUAAAUUAAAAAUUACAGUUAUAAUAUGAUAUCUAUUUUUCAUAUAGUGUAAGAAACUUUCGUAUUAAUUGUGCAGGAGACUGUUAAUUUAAACUUUAUUAUGGUAACGUUCAAAACUCGCUCGUUUUGCAAAGUUACGUUUGGAGAUUCAUGUUAACAGUCAUUGUUUAAUGAAAGGCACAUUGGACUACGGCUUAGUAAUAUGUGUGACACUUGCUUGCAGCACUAAAUAGACGUGACACGCGGUACCGGGUUUCUUUUCAGUUUAUGUCUUUACGUUAUAGGACGGGUCAUUAUAAAUUAUGCCUUUCGAUUAUCGCAACGCCUCGUCGCGUUUGGUUAAGCACAUGGUGGAACAGUAUGCACAUCACUGUACCUAACGUACUGUACACCUGUGAGCGGCAUGACGAGACAAAAGACGGUAAAACUCAUUAUUAAUCGGUGAUGCUGUACAUUCUGGAUGAUGCACAGCCACAUUUUAUAAUACUGUUUUUUAUUUUCGUGUCGCGCCGCUCGCGUUCAAUAUAAAGUUAGACAAGACGCAAUUAAUUACUGGGAGAGUAACGUUAGUGGUCUAAUGGUAAGAGUCGAACUUCACGAACCUUUUACUGCUUGCAGUAAGGCUAAAGUGCUACGUGAAUAAGAUGGGUGUAGUUUUGUGCUACUAGCUGUAAAGUGUUUUUGCACUAUUGAGUUAUAAAUACUGCCCAGUAAUACUUAACUAGAUGUAAAUCACAAUUCUUGUGUCAAUGUUUGUUUGUAAUCUUUUUCAGCUAUCCAUCUGAAAAAGAAAAGCUGGCACUCUCAAAGGAGAUUGUGUUGUUGGUUUAUGGUCUCAUUUGGUCAAAAAGAGGGACAUGUACCUGGAUUUAUAAAAAUGAGAUUACAGAACAUCAGAUGGUAGCUUCAACAGAGUUGAAGUGGGAGGACAUCAUCAAUAAAGAAUGCCAUUGACCAAACCUUCAGUCAUCAAAGAAGAUGGAUACAGGUAAUGACAAAAUCACCAAUUAUUGGGGGACAUCAAGUUUUCCAGACUUACCGAUGGGAAAGAAGAAAUGGGAAUGUGACAAUUAUUGAGAAACUCAGGGAAAAAGCAUCUUUAG